CGUAGGGUGCAAGCGUUAAUCGGAAUUACCGGGCGUAAAGCGUGCGCAGGCGGUUGUGUAAGACAGGUGUGAAAUCCCCGGGCUUAACCUGGGAACUGCAUUUGUGACUGCACGGCUGGAGUGCGGCAGAGGGGGAUGGAAUUCCGCGUGUAGCAGUGAAAUGCGUAGAUAUGCGGAGGAACACCGAUGGCGAAGGCAAUCCCCUGGGCCUGCACUGACGCUCAUGCACGAAAGCGUGGGGAGCAAACGGGAUUAGAUACCCUGGUAGUCCACGCCCUAAACGAUGUCAACUGGUUGUUGGUCCUUUGCUGGAUCAGUAACGAAGCUAACGCGUGAAGUUGACCGCCUGGGGAGUACGGCCGCAAGGUUG
rnacentral:rRNA from 1 species